rnacentral:snoRNA from 1 species
CCCCUCCAGAUUCCUUAGCCCUCAAACCUGAACAGUGGUCGGAGUGGCUUAAAGACAAAAGGAGGAAAGUGAAACUGAAAUGGACUUGGAGUCUUUGCGACAAACAAGUUCACUUCAAUCAAUA